rnacentral:rRNA from 1 species
GACGAACGCUGGCGGCGUGCCUAACACAUGCAAGUCGAGCGGAGUUAGUUUGUAGCUUGCUACAAACUAACUUAGCGGCGGACGGGUGAGUAACGCGUGGAUAACCUGCCUUUUACAGGGGGAUAACACAGGGCAACUUGUGCUAAUACCGCAUAACAUAUAGAAGUGGCAUCACUUUUAUAUCAAUGGAGCAAUUCGGUAGAAGAUGGAUCCGCGUCCGAUUAGCGAGUUGGCGGGGUAAAGGCCCACCAAAGCGACGAUCGGUAGCCGAACUGAGAGGUUGAUCGGACACAUUGGGACUGAGACACGGCCCAGACUCCUACGGGAGGCAGCAGUGGGGAAUAUUGCGCAAUGGGGGAAACCCUGACGCAGCAACGCCGCGUGAAGGAUGAAGGCUUUCGGGUUGUAAACUUCUUUAGUCGGGGACGAAAAAAUGACGGUACCCGAAGAAUAAGCCACGGCUAACUACGUGCCAGCCGCCGCCGUAA